CCUCCAAGUAGCUAGGAUUACAAGCAUGCAUCACCAUGCCCAGGGAGAUUAUCGUGAUUGGGCUCAACUUAAUCAGAGGUGCUUUUAAGAGAAAGACACACAUCAUGGAAAAACACAUCUGAUGGCGUGGAAGUAAGUGACUUCUAGAGGUGGGCCACAUGGUAUGCUUCUUAUGUUGGCCACAUGGCAGGAAAUAUAUUUGUAUAUUAUUAUCAUUUCUCCCUCCCACAUGUUGCUUCCAGUAAGGAGAAUAGGAGAAUCCCAUGGAGAGAAAAUUGAUUAAUAUAUGUAUCUAUAAUAAAUUGAUAUUAAAAAUUAAGAAAAAUUAUAUCUUACCUUUUGCUUACCUGCCGUCCCUCUUUGAGGAUGUAAACAAACCUAUCCUAGAUAAAGUGUUUGUAAAAGUAGACCCUCAUGUAAAGUAAGCUUGUUUUUAUAUAUAUAUAUAUAAAAAUUAAUAAAAUUAAAAAUUCUUUAG